GUCCACGCCCUAAACGAUGUCUACUAGUUGUCGGGUCUUAAUUGACUUGGUAACGCAGCUAACGCGUGAAGUAGACCGCCUGGGGAGUACGGUCGCAAGAUUAAAACUCAAAGGAAUUGACGGGGACCCGCACAAGCGGUGGAUGAUGUGGAUUAAUUCGAUGCAACGCGAAAACCUUACCUACCAUUGACAUGGCUGGAAUCCCUGAGAGAUCGGGGAGGUGCUCGAAAGAGAACCAAGUACACAGGUGCUGCAUGGCUGUCGU
rnacentral:rRNA from 1 species